GACGAACGCUGGCGGCGUGCUUAACACAUGCAAGUCGAACGGAAAGGCCCUGCUUUUGUGGGGUGCUCGAGUGGCGAACGGGUGAGUAACACGUGAGUAACCUGCCCUUGACUUUGGGACAACUUCAGGAAACUGGGGCUAAUACCGGAUAGGAGCUCCUGCUGCAUGGUGGGGGUUGGAAAGUUUCGGCGGUUGGGGAUGGACUCGCGGCUUAUCAGCUUGUUGGUGGGGUAGUGGCUUACCAAGGCUUUGACGGGUAGCCGGCCUGAGAGGGUGACCGGCCACAUUGGGACUGAGAUGCGGCCCAGACUCCUACGGGAGGCAGCAGUGGGGAAUAUUGCACAAUGGGCGGAAGCCUGAUGCAGCAACGCCGCGUGCGGGAUGACGGCCUUCGGGUUGUAAACCGCUUUCGCCUGUGACGAAGCGUGAGUGACGGUAAUGGGUAAAGAAGCACCGGCUAACUACGUG
rnacentral:rRNA from 1 species